rnacentral:lncRNA from 1 species
UAUAACUACUAUAUACUUCCUCCAUUGUUAAUUAUAAUCAAAUUUUGAUUUUCUAGGUUCAUUCAAUUAACGAUGUAUGUGGUCUAUAUUAUAGACCACAUACAUUUUUAAUGGAAUAAAUCUAAAAAGUCAAAAUUUGCUUAUAUUUGACAACUGAUAGAGUAUAUUUGUGUUGUCCUUUAUGUUUAUAAUAUUUAUUUGAAUCUAUGAACAAUAUCAAUAAAUAUAAUGUUUAGUGUUGGAUCUUGAACAAGCUAACAAAUAUAUUUUAAUGCAUAUACAAACUUAAUCAAUGAUGGAGUAUGGAUUUGUUCAAAUCUUAUAGAUUUUACAAUUUUUAUGCACAUUAUCUUUGCACUCAAUGAACAGUUUUAAUAAAAAAAACAUUUAAGGCUAGGCUUUAGAGCUGAUGGAGGAGUAAAAAAAACCUUCAAGAAAACCAAAAUUUUUAUUACCUAUCUCUUAAGUACUUGAGUGAGUUGUGUUAGUAUUUUUUAAAAACUUAUAAUUAAUUAUGUCUUAAAUACAUUAAAGUGUUGUGUGUCUUUGCAGUAAACUUUGUAAAAAGGUAAUAUAAAAAAAUGACCAAUCAUAUGAACUCUUUCUUAUCAUAUGUAUUUUGCAUUGAUGAUACAAAAUGGCUUACCGUCAACAUUCAAUGCAACAACAAAUAGAGAAAUGAAGAUCAUGGCAAAUAGAGUAAGGGACUUGUGAAAAAUGAUAUAAGUCUUGUUGUCUUUAUUCAACUGCUAAGGUCCUUAUAUAUGAGAGAACAAGAGAGCGGUUGUUGAAGAAGUUAUAGCACAUCAAAUUGCCUCAAAUAGAUAAUGUCGUUGAGUAGUCAUUUGAAAUUACUUUGCUUCUAAUAAAAUGACUUGUUAUAUUUUCUUUGUCAUUGAAUUUCUUUGUUUGUUUCUGCACUUGUGGUGUCUCCCAAAACACUAAAUAUUUUAAGGUGGAAAAACUUAGUGCAAGUAUACACUGUCUAAGUUGUAGUAUAAAAAAAUGUCAAUCAUGUAACUCUCUCAAACCCCAAUACGAUAUUUAAUAAUAAAUCAACAGAUAAUCACAAAGGUUCAAGGUGCUACUUCAUCAUAAAUCCAAAAUAGUCAUAAAUCAUUAUAAUCAUAAAACAGUCGCAGCGGAGUCACAACAUAAAGUUAUCAUCUCAACAUCUCAUACUACAUCAUCCAGAUAACUCUAAGCUCCUCUAAAACAUAAAAAUCCAAAAGUAAAGAUAAAUAGUCUCCCAAACACCCUAAUCAUAGUACAACCACUAAGACUCCAAAAACAAAAGCAAAGAAGGAGGAUAGGCCUCAAGUCCUCCUCCGGUACUCACGUCGAUCAAGCGACCAAAUUGCCACUAGAGGGAAAUCAUCCACUACAUGUGUAGAUCUAUGAAGAAAAAGGGACCAUAGGCAAAGUCAAUCAAUUUAAAUAGGUCUUGGAAGAACAAUGGAGAGCAAAGGAAUCCAAAGCAUCUGAAGAAAACUGCGUCUGAAGCUAAAGUGCUUAUGAAGUAACAAGUGCUUCUGAAGUAAUGACGUCAUCAGAAGCAGAAGUUCAUCAGAAGCAGAAUUUCAUCAGAAGCGAUAUCAUCACCAGAAGCUACAUUUGAUCAGUAAAUUUAAAUUGACGAUUCAAAGGAGCUGUUUUUCGUUUCAACCUCGUCUAAGAGAACGAAGAAUUGAAAGGGAGGUAUCAACGGUCAUUUGAAGAGCACUGGGUACUUGUCCUUCGUUAUUAGAGUUGACAAAGUACAAGUGUACAACCACUACCUCCACUACUCUGUUUUUGUCUACACUACAAGACAAGACAACAACUAUGCCUACAGAAAUGUUCCUUCAAGAUGGGAAUGAAUUUGAAGUUGAUUCUUCAAAGAACUACACCCAAAUCAGGCAAAAGAUUACUGGUGGAUGAUCAAAGGAACUCAAUGACUCUUUAGACGUGCUAAAAAUCUCAACGUCUCUUUCACACCUCUAUAUAAAGGAGUGAGGACUUGAAGAUUAAAAAAAAAGAGAAAUCAACACAAGUUAAAAGCGCCAAAACUCUGCCAAAUUUGAUUCCACAAAGCACUUUGAAUUUCUGCAUUGAUUUGAUAUAUCUUAGAAAUUCUUAAGUCUAGAGUCUUUAUUGCAUUGAAUUGU